rnacentral:antisense_RNA from 1 species
CACCAACAUGUCAGGUUUAUUUCUCCUUCGCUCUCACCUGAGAGCAGGGCAUCCAAAUCAUAACAAAACCAGAGCCCAAGAGUGGGGAGCGGCCCCCUGGGUGGGCCUGAACCCCAAUUUCACCCUUCCCCCGGGCAUAGGACCCUCACCCGAAUGUGGCCGGGACUCCUUGUGCCCUAGGCCCACGGGGCAGGGGCGGAGGCAGCACCAACAUUGGGGAUGGUCCCCCAAGAACAGAGGAGGAAGCCCAGCCUCCGGUAGGCAGUGUCCACAUCCAUGUCCACCUGCUCAGGCCUGCAGCCUCCAGACCU